GGCUUGGGCCUCCAUAAAGCUCUUCAGGUGAUUCUGAUGGGCAGCUCGAUCUCAGAGCCUGUAGCCUGAUUGGAAGAACAUCCCAGGCAGAAGGGAGAACAAAUGAAAAAGACCCGAGGGGCACCUGGGUCUUCUAAGAAGAGGAGGAAGGCGAGUGAGGCCAGAAUGAGGGAUUCAGCGCUGGAGGUUGAUGAGGUCAGAGCAUGUAGAGAGGUCGGGAGGCGCGGGGGUUGAAAACUAGGAUCAGAAGGAAUUGGGAAGCUAGGGUGGUGGGUAUUUUAAAAAGCUUUAUUGACAUAGCAUUUAAAGUGUAUAACUGCUUUGGGUAUUUCACAUUAUUUUUUUAGUGGGGUCAAAGAGAUGUAAUAAAAUUUGUCCUCAUAACCAUUUUUUUAAAAAGUGUAUGAUUCAGUGACAUUAGUCAAGGUUGGGUUUUAAACAUGUAAAUGUUUUCUAAGCUUCAGCGUUCACAGACCACCUGCAUCUUGGACUCCAUCAGGACACCGCCUCUAUUGUUACUUAUUUUCUUUAAUCCAGCGAAACAAAGGUCACUCACAUUCCUUCUAGCAUCACUGGUGUGGGUGCGUCCCGCACCCUGAGCUGUGUGCUGAGAGAUUGCUCCGUACUGGAAUUUUUUGGUCUCCAUGAUAACCCCACGAGGCAGGCACCAAUUCCCAGUCCAUUCUCCAGAUGAGGAAAAGGAUCUGCUCAAGGUCACAAAACUGGUCAGUCAGCGCCAGAGCCGGGAUUCAAAUCAGUCUGGCUGACUCACAGCCCAGGUCCGUGACCCCCUCAGAUGACACUGGCCCAGAGUCGGUGGCACUGUGGUAAGUUUACAAAAUGCCUCUGACUCCGCUGCCCCCGGGAGUGGACACUGUUUCCCUCUUUGUCUAGGCUGGGAAACAGACUUGACGGUUAAAUGAAAUUAGAGGGGCAUCAGGUUUUUACUUGAAAACAAUAGAAUCCAUUAUAGGUAAGUCUGAGCAGGACAGGAACUUAUAAAGGCUAUUAAGUGACUCAGAUCUCUGGGAGGGAGGGCUGGAGAGACAGCUAUGAACAAUAUAUAAAUUACACUGCAGGACCUUCCUGUCACUACCACCGGUCCACACACAGCGGCUGUCACUAGUAACACUAGUUAUGUCUCUUCCACUUCCUCUAGAUGGAAUUCUACGCAUCAGAAUCAGCUUGCGUUGCUUUCAAUGUAGGUGCAUCCAUUGGGUAAGCCUACAAAUUCCAUGUGGCUGUAGCUAAUUGAGGCCCAAGUACCAUCUGGAUGUAUUUGAUUGGCUGAGCCUGGGUCCCAUCUGGGUGUAUCUGAUUGGUUGAGCCUAGGUCACAUGCUUAUAUUCUGACUGCAAGGGAGGCUGGGAAACUGAGAUUCAUGCUGUUUCCAGUGCAGAUUCGUAAGAUGGGAAAUUAAAGCAUUGACAAAAAAGUCGACCCACUGCAGACUUGUCCAAAGUCUCUUUAUCAGUCAGAUCAGUUUACCUGAGCAGAAGUCACCUUCCUAAUUGAAGCAGAAGGGUUUAGUGAGCCAAGUGGUCUGUGCUCCGCUGAGUUUAUUUGGCUAGGCUGGGACUAUAUUUCCCAGAAUCCUUUGAUUCCCAGGUAGAAAUUGACCAAAAGUAACUUGCGAGAGAGUUUGAAGGUGGACGGGGAGCAGCAGUGUGUCCUCUUACAAGGUCGCUGUGGUCUGAUGUGGUGACAAAUAGCCGCAGACCUGUCUGCAGGCUCCGGCGUGUCCUUGCUGUCCUCUGGGCUGCGUCCAUGUCUUCCUCCCGACUCCUGGGCAUCAGCACCUGGCCUGGCACUGGCCGCUUGGCUGCAGCAGCAAUGGUUCCUGAUCCGUUUCUCUACUGUUGGCCCUCGGCAGCCUCACUUGGUGACUAGAUGGACCCCGUGGCCUCUCAAUUUGCCUGGUUGGUGGCUCCACAAGUCCCUGUUCCGACCUCACUUCUCAACCUCCUCCCACAUGCUGACAUACAAAGCUUAUUAAUAAUUCUCAUAAUAAAUUAGCAUGCAUGUGUGCGUGCUAAGUUGCUUCAGUCGUGUCUGACUCCGUGUGACCCGGUGGACUGUAGUCCGUCAUGCUUCCUUUGUCCAUAGGAUUCUCCAGGCAAGAAUACCGGCAUGGGUUGCCAUGCCCUCCUGCAGGGGGUCUUCUCCACCCCAGGCUGGAACUCGAAUCUUUUGCAUCUCCUGCAUCGGCAAGCGGGUUCUUUAUCACUAGCUCCAUUCCCCAGCCACACGGGCUGGAUCUAGCUGCUUCCCUGAUUGGGUGUGACUGAUUGUUGUUGUUCAGACACUAAGUCUUUCUGAUUCUUAGCAAUCCAGUGGACUGGAGCAUGUCAGGCUCCUCUGUCCUCCACCAUCUCCCUGAGUUUGCUCAAAUUUCCUACGGUACGGCUGAUAACAUCAUGAGUAUUUACAGAAUCUCAGGAUGGCUGAGGAAGCCACAUUGCAGGCCUGGGCCCCAGGGGAGCCACUGCCUCAUGAUCAGGAGGCCCUACUCAUCUGCAGGCCAGUCUCCUGUGUUCAGCCAUUUUCCCUUUCUUAACUCAGCACAAGCACAGGUGUCUUGUGGACGCGGCUGAUGGGUGAGCCCUUAAAGGCUUCAGAUUCCUGGCUGCAAGGGAGUCUGGAAGAUGAAAUUUUCUGCUCUCCAGCCUCUUCAGUUUAGGAAGGCCAUGAUGUUAAUGGGAAACCAUCCCCUCCCUGGCCCUGUAGAUAAUCCAAGGCCAGGCUAACUGGUCACCAGGUGACUUGUUAACAUGAUUGAGCACUGACCUCGGUUCACCUUGACGAAAUGAAGGAAGAGAAGGGAACUUCAUUUAUCCAGCAUUUUUCACAUUCCCGGUCACUUAUGUACAGGGUGCAUUUUGCAACUGAGGACACACGGGGCCCAGAGAAACGGAGGAAGCUUCCUGAGGUCACACAGCUAGUUACGGCAGAAGCCGGACUUGAGCCAUCCUGUUGACCAAAGAGUGCCUGCUCCUCACUGUUACUGCGUAUUUGUUAAUAUUGGGAGACGCUUUUGUAUAAAAGCCAUUCAUUCUUAAUUAGGCACUUUUUCUUGGCUGAGCAGUUUCAGGUGCUGCGGACAUAGUGGUGGGCAAACCAGGAGGAGCUAGAUAAAGGGUAGUGUUAGGAUGUUAGGAUGCAAGUUCUCAGCAAGUCAGGGAAUAGAGUCAGGUGAAACAGGUUUGGGGUUAAGUUGAUAUUGAUGUGUUUCCUUUGUACUUAAAUGUAUAAGAAAAGAUUUGUGCUUUUUUUGAAACGUAGGUCCCUUGGUUUAGUUUUUGUUUUUCCUUUUUUUGAAAAAAUUUAUAUAUUUUGGACUGUGCGGGAUCCUCAUUGCUGUGAGAGAGCUUUCUCUAGUUGCAGUGCGUGGGCCUCUCUCUGUGGUGGCUUCCCUUUUUCCAGAGCGUGGGCUGUAGAAUGGAGGUUCAGUAGUUUUAGGCUUAGUUGUCCCACGGCAUGUGGAAUCUUCCCAGACCAGUUGUUGAACCUGUGUCCCCUACACUGGCAGACAGAUUCUUAACCACUGGACCACAAGGGAAGUCCUGGUUUUCCUUUUGUGAUAGAAAAAUAUUCCUCCAUUCUGAAAAAACCAUAGACUGUGCCAACUGAUGGUUUGUCUCAGUGUCUGGGACACAAAACGGCACAGUGAUUGUUGUUGUUUAGCUGCUAAGUCACGUCUGACUCUGAGUCCCCAUGGACUGUAACCUGCCAGGCUCCUGUCUCUGUGGCACGGUAGGGACUGGGGUAAACGAAUGAACCUGGAGAGCAGCUCUGGUGUGGCUCCUGCUGGUCUCGUGCAUACGUAGGUCCCUGUGUUGCCAGAUGGCCCACGCUUUUUAGUGGGAAGUUGAAAAUUCAUAUUUUGAGUUAUGUCUUCCAAAUUACCUAUAGUUGUACCAAAUUUUGCAAAUGUUGUGAAAAUCAGUCAAACUUCUCUGUGGGUCAGAUCUGGCCAGUUUGCAUCUUGUGUGGGAGAGCCUUAAUUUAGGCGUCAGAGAUACUGGGUUGGAGUCUGGGUUCUGCUACCUUCCAGUGGGUGGGGUCACAGGCAAGCCACGACACUCCCUGGGCCUCAAUUUCCCCUUCUGCAAAAUGGCACUCCUGAGAACAGCAUGGUCUGCCGAGCCUUUUACUGAACCAGUAUUUUCUAAACGGUGGGUCAUGGAGUCGAUUUAGUGGAUUGCGACCUGCAUCUUUUAAAUAGAGACCAGGACAGGAUGGAAAAUAACAGGAUAUAUCAUAGUAUUAUAGGUCAGCAUUGCGUUGUGGAACAUAUUUUAGUUGUAUACACAUAAUAUGCACACACAUAUAUAUGUUAGACUGGGUCUUGUUAUAGAUAAUAUGCAUUUCUCAUGUGCAGUGACCGAAAAGGAGGCUUUCAAAUAAAAAAUGUUGUUCAUGUCUGAAUGCAUUCAAUACUGGCAACAUUUCUGUGAGGUGGGUUUUCUCAUCAACCCCAUUUUACAGGUGAGAAAGCUGAGGUUCAGAGAGUGAAGUUUCCACAAACAGGAAAAGGAAGAGCUUGGAUGUGACCCCAGGCCACAUCUUAACCACGGGCAAUCUGUCCUCUCCAGACAGCACCUGUGUGGCUGCGAUGAAAGGCGCUAGUGCAAGUCCAGGGCUUGGCCGGGUGCCUGGGACAGAGCAGGUGCUUAAUAAAUGUAUGAGCCAGGCUCCUCAUUCAGCCACACCAGGUGGCCUGCAGGAAUCCAAGGGCUACAAGAGACAGGCGGGCUGGGCUUCUGCAGUCCUGGUACCCAUGCGGUGGGGACAGAGCUACAGGGGCAAAGAGACACCCUCUCCCCUGCAGCCUGAGCUCCCCAAAUAACUCAUUUUUGGCCAAAUACUUGAUGGUCGAAUUUUAAAAUCAGUAUUUGGCUGGAGCUGGCUUAUCCAUCAUCCUUGAAUGAACUUCUGCAUAUUUUGCUAUAUUGAAUUUAUGGAUAAAAAAAAAAAACCAUUUUGUUAAACAAUUUAAACUAUCAUGACUAUGGUAUUAUUAAGCGUUAGGGCAGUUAACUUUUAAAGCCGGGCUGAGUGUAGGAAGAAGCGCUUCCAGGCCAGUGGUUGCUGAUGGCUCGAGGCCACCCUGCUGCUCUCUGCUUGAAUCCCCGUUGCGACCACAGCAGGUCAAUUAAUCCUUAACUCUUGGGCCUGAACAUAUCCUUGAAGGUGCUGCAGUUUCAGGGAAGCACUCCCCGAAGCAAGGGCGCAGCCUAAGAAAAUGCUUCUGGAAUCCUUUCAGUGCUAUUUCCAGGCCUAACUUGGGGUGGCACCUGCGGGCUGUUGGGGCCAAAGGCGGGCUCACACUGCCCUCUGGUGGUCACUGGCGAGCACAGCGUCGCGGGUGCUGAGCCGGCAGCAUCGUCGGGGCUGCGGGCCCUGGGGGAGAACCGCGCAGCGCGCUGAACUCAGAUUUUCCUCUACCCAGAAUCUGUCUAUGGAUACGGACGACAUCCUAGAAGUUUCCCACAUCCUU
ensembl:lncRNA